UAAAAUCAGUUAUGGUUCCUUAGAUCGUACCCACAUUUACUUGGAUAACUGUGGUAAUUCUAGAGCUAAUACAUGCAAACAGAGCUCCGACCGGAGACGGAAGGAGCGCUUUUAUUAGAUCAAAACCAAUCGGCGGCGGGUUCGCUCGUCGUCGUACCCACUGGUGAAUCUGAAUAACUUUCUGCUGAUCGCAUGGUCUCGCACCGGCGACGCAUCUUUCAAAUGUCUGCCUUAUCAACUGUCGAUGGUAGGUUCUGCGCCUACCAUGGUUGUAACGGGUAACGGGGAAUCAGGGUUCGAUUCCGGAGAGGGAGCCUGAGAAACGGCUACCACAUCCAAGGAAGGCAGCAGGCGCGCAAAUUACCCACUCCCGGCACGGGGAGGUAGUGACGAAAAAUAACGAUACGGGACUCAUCCGAGGCCCCGUAAUCGGAAUGAGUACAAUCUAAACCCUUUAACGAGGAUCAAUUGGARGGCAAGUCUGGUGCCAGCAGCCGCGGUAAUUCCAGCUCCAAUAGCGUAUAUUAAAGUUGUUGCGGUUAAAAAGCUCGUAGUCGAAUCUGUGUCCCGCGCCGCCGGUUCACCUCACGCGGUGUUUAACUGGCGUGUCCGCGGGACGUCCUGCCGGUGGGCUUUACCCGCAAGGGUUGGCCCAACUCAAUCCCACCGCGGUGCUCUUGAYUGAGUGUUCGAGGUGGGCCGGCACGUUUACUUUGAACAAAUUAGAGUGCUUAAAGCAGGCUAAAACUUCGCCUGAAUACCGUGUGCAUGGAAUAAUGGAAUAGGACCUCGGUUCUAUUUUGUUGGUUUUCGGAACCCCGAGGUAAUGAUUAAUAGGAACGGAUGGGGGCAUUCGUAUUGCGACGUUAGAGGUGAAAUUCUUGGAUCGUCGCAAGACGAACAGAAGCGAAAGCAUUUGCCAAAAACGUUUUCAUUGAUCAAGAACGAAAGUUAGAGGUUCGAAGGCGAUCAGAUACCGCCCUAGUUCUAACCAUAAACGAUGCCAGCUAGCGAUCCGCCGACGUUCCUUCGAUGACU
rnacentral:rRNA from 1 species